rnacentral:lncRNA from 1 species
AUGAGAGAAACCCUAGUGCGUAGCUGAGAAGCUUUAGAUAGGGCCAAUUUCGUACAUCCCGUGUUUGCUUGCUUGCGCCUGCGGGUCCGGGUCGGGUUAAGAUCAGUUGUUGGGUCCACUUUUAAAUGAAUACGGAGCUGCUAGGUUCCUUCGUAUACGUUGUUGAAAACAAAUAAUGGUAAGAGAAAUUCUAGGUUUUAUUGAUUUUGAUACAAGAGACAGGGACAUAAAUAGCUAAUAGAGAUCAACAAAAUAAAGAAACUAAAUAACUAGAAAUAUGGAAAAGAUGUGGAAGAAUAAAACCUAAUACUUCCCCUUAAAUGGAGCAUGUAAAGAAUUUAGUUGCUGAGUUCCCACUCCCUUAGUGAGUAAGUCUGCAAGCUGAAGUUUACUGUCUAUAGCCAUGGGCAUAAUUUCUUUCGAAUCUACUCGUUCUCAAACAAAAAUAAACAAUUCAUUUCAACAUGCUUUGUCCGCUCAUGGUAUACAGGAUUGUUUGCAAUGUGUUGGGCCGCUUGAUUGUCACAAAACAAUUGAGUGGGAGUCGUAAUGUGAACUUGCAAGUCUUGGAGUAACCACCGCACCAAAAGGAUCUCGCUAACUGCGGAGGCCAUUGCCCGAUACUCCGCUCCUGCAGAAGAACGGGACACCACGGAUUGUUUCUUUGUCUUCCAAGAAAUAGGGCUACCGCCCAAGAGGAGUAAGUAUCCCGUUCUUGACCGCCUCGUAAAAGGACAUCCAAGCCAAUCAGAGUCACAAUAUCCAACUAAGACUGGAGGUCUGUUGGCCCAUGCAGUUGAGCCUAGAAGAACAGAUGAUAAGGAAAGCCAAAACUGGUUCUCAAACAGUUGGUCAUCAUAAGUAGUGUAUGCACUAGAUUCUUCCCUUGACAGUGGUUUUCUAUCAUCUGAUGAACUCCAAGCACUGAUCAUCUCAACAACUGUUAAGCCAAAGAACUGAUGAAGAAUAAAGACUGAAGCUCUAUUUACUGAUGUCUCUCAAGUACUGUUGAAGACCAAAGCACUGCUCAUUCAAGGACUGAUCACCCUUUGAAGAAAGCACUGAUUCUCAACAUCAGUGCUUAGGCUACAACAGUGGAAGCUACAUCUGUGUUUUAUGUAAUCAGUGUCUAUUGUAAUCAGUGUUUUUAUAUGUAACAGUGUUUAGAGUUUGUUAGGAGGUUAGAUGUCACUUUCAUGGUGACGUCAGCAAAGAUGCUCAGUGGUUUCGUUUGUACUAUAAAUAGAACAGUACCUGUACUGUUCCAUUAGCUUAUUCUCACCAAGUCAUCUUGUACGAACAAAUCACUUAGCUCAGGCUAAGGGGGAGUCUAGUUGCAUGCAUGCACAGUUGAAUAUUGUAAUAGAUACAAUCUUUUGACUGAAUGAAAUCAUGUUUGCU